GGACAAUUCUGUACUUCUGUGACACUCACUGAAAUCUUAUUUCCAAAAACAUAUGAAUGCUGAUUAUUUAUUUAUUUAUUUAUUUAUUUUGCCUUUGGCUUUAUAGGACAGGAGAAGUAAGCAGCGAGGACAUCAGGUUUCAUCAGUGACCACAAGGUGACCAGUAGGACCACAAGGAGUACUGUCUUCACCUUUGAUUUGCAGGCUCUAACAGUAAAAUUUCCACUUACCUACCUUUCAACCCUGGAAUAAAGCAUUUGUACCCUGGACUGCUUGCUGGCAUCACCAAUAUGCAUGACUGAGAGACACGCUGGUUAUUUAUAGAUGCAAGAAGCUGCAAUGUUCAGCUUGGAGUGCCCUGUUGGCUACUUCAGUCAGUUCCUAGAGAGCAGUCUAGGAAAGAGUAAUGGAUACCUCCCACCUCUCAGGAGACAAGAUGAGGCAGAACACAUUGCCAGAAGUCUUCAGUCUUCAGUGAGAUGUGGCACUGUCCAUUGCCACCUUGCAGAUGAGACCAGUGUUGGCCAUGGCAGACAUUUCUUCACUCCAACUGUAUCUUCUGCCAAAGAGGUUACUUUAGUGCCAUGGAAGAAUAGAGAAUUUCAUUGUACCUGGGUCUGUCUGAACAAAGGGGCAAUCACUGCCUUUCACUUUUACUACAUCUUGCUUGCUUGACUCAUUCUGCAUUUAAGAAAAACUGCUUGACUGAGAGCAGGGCAGAUUAGCGCUAGGGUGUGAUAUGUCACAUACAUCAAAACCCUGGGCUUGGUCUCAAGGGGUGGCCAUUCUGGGUGGUUCUUGC
rnacentral:lncRNA from 1 species